rnacentral:rRNA from 1 species
UUCCCCUUGAUAUAAUGUAAGGGGUAAGUUCUGCCCAUUGGGGAAACUUUAACGGCCGCAGUAUUUUGACUGUGCAAAGGUAGCAUAAUAAAUAGGCUUUUAAUUAAGGUCUGGAAUGAAAGAUUUAAUGAGAGGUAAGCUGUUUUUUUAAUAAAAUUGAAAUUUUAAGUUAGGUGAAGAUACUUAAAUUAUUAUAAAAGACGAGAAGACCCCGUUAAGUUUUAUAAUAAAUUAGGUAAGUAGUCUUAUGUAUUAUUUAGUUGGGGCAAUUAUAAAAUAGGAAAAACUUUUAUUUAAAUAUAAUAUUUACGAGUAAAUUAAUGAUGAUCCAUUUAUUUGAUUAAAGGAAAAAAUUACUAUGGGGAUAACAGCGUAAUUUUAUUUUAGAGUUCUUAUCGAUAAUAAAGAUUGCGACCUCGAUGUUGGAUUAAGAUACCUAUUUGGUGCAGGUGCUAUAAUGGGGUAGUCUGUUCGACUAUUAAAUUCUUACA